GCAGCUAUGUGGAAGCUUUACUGGCAGAGUAUAAAGGCAGCGCACAGAGUCGAUCAGGGUGUGAGUAGGCUGCAGAGUGGCAACUGAGAAGAACAUGCUGCUGUCCGUGAUCCUCACCGCCGGGCUCACAGCACUCGUAGCUACUGGGCAAAAAGCAGAGCAGCCAGAAGUGGUGACCAAAUACGGCACUGCCCGAGGAUACCAAAUCAAAGUUGAUGCGGCUGAGAGGAGCGUAAAUGUCUUUCUGGGACUUCCUUUUGCUAAGCCUCCUGUUGGACCACUGAGGUUUUCUGAGCCCCAGCCUCCUGAGCCAUGGCAAGGUGUCAGAGAUGCCACUUCCUACCCACCAAUGUAAGUAAAGCAG